AAGUGAUUCUCAUGCCUCAGCCUCCCAAGUAGUUGGAAUGACAGGCGUGCGUCACCACACCUGGCUGAUUUUUGUGUUUGUAGUAGAGACGGGGUUCUGCCAUGUUGGUCAGGCUGGUCUUGAAAUCCUGACCUCAAGUGAUCUACCCACCUCAGCCUCCCAAAGUGCUGGGAUUACAGGCAUGAGCCACUGCACCUGGCCAAGUAAUCCAUUUUAAAUUGGUACAAAUGAAAGCAAAGAGGCAAAUGCAUGUAUUAGAGUUGCAGGGCCAGAUUCUGCCCAUGAGGGUUUGUAAUUCUCUUUACCUGAGUCUGCAGGUGGAGUGCAUGAGUGUUGCCAAGGGAAACAUCUAGCCCUUUCCUUGUCAAACAUUGCUCUGAAAGCCAAUUCAUAUGUACUCUUAAUUGAACACCCAGUAAUUUCACAGUAUGUGCAAAAUAUCAUUAGGCUGGGGGGUUAGGUGGAAGGAUGAACAGGCAGAGCACAGAGGAUUUUUAGAGUGGUGAGGAAACUGAUACAUGUAAUGGUAGAUACAUGUCAGUAUACAUUUGUCCAAACCCACAGGAUGGACAACACCAAGAAUGAACCCUGAUAUCAACUAUGGACUCUGGGUAAUGAUAAUGUAUCAAUGUAGGUUCAUCAGUUGUAACAAAUGGACCACUCUGGGGAGGGACUUUGAUAAUGGGGGAGGCUAGUCAUGUGUGGGGGCAGAGGAUAUAUGGGAUAUCUUUGCACUUCCUCUUAAUUGUGUUGGGAACCUAAAACUGCUCUGAAAAAUUAAGUCUUAAAGAUUUGGACAGGAAAAAAAAUACAUCAGGCCUCAGGAAGCUGAAGAAGAUGCCUUUUGACCUAAUGUGCUGAUCAGGACCCCUUUGCAUCAUAAAUAUACCAACUCCCAAUUAUUGCACCUCUGUCUCAUGUAAAUUUCCUUCCAAUGUUAAGAGGAAAUGCAGCCUGUUCAAAAGUUUUCUUUCUUUAUGCGUGUCCCAUAAAUCAACAAACAGGUAAAAAGAAAAACCCACUGUUUUUCUAGACAUUAAGAAUGCAGAAGGCAGGAAAUAUCAACAAAGUCUCUUCAUUCAUUCAUUCAUUCAACAGAGAGCAGGACUCUGCACAGCACACCACAGGCCGCCUCAUUGGUUUUGGAGGUCAAGCUGGCUCAUGGGGCUUCCCAAAGUCUAGGACCCUGGAUCAUCAAUCCUAAUGUAAAAGCCUGCAUCUGGCUCAAGCGUGCACCAUGGUCAACAGGUCUCUCCCUUACUACCCUGAGCUGUAGAGAAAGAGGCUGGGACCACAAAGAGGUGGCAGAGGGAAGAGAAUCCACAGAAACCUCUAACAGUCCUCAUUUUUCCUGGCCAGUCUGAGGUUGGGUUAUGUGGCUAUAGAGGAGAACAGAAUGAGAACCUGUCCCUGCUUUACUCAGUGAUUUCUUCAUCGUGUUCUGGACCAUUUGGAAGCUCCAUGAGUGGAGUGAAGGAGAGAGGCUGAGCACCAUCCCCGCUGCCCUCAGCUGUGUGACCAUGAAGAAGUUGCAUGUUUCCAGUUUCACCAUGUGUAAGCCAACCUUACACCAGAUAGGGAGCCCUAGCUUCCUGCCCCACUUGUUGCAAGGGCUCAGUCAAUGGCAGGCCUGUGUGCAAUGGGUUAUUACAUGAAAUGCCAGUGCGGAAGGGAUUGUAGGGGUCAUUGAGCCCAACUGCUUGACCUUCCUGAUGUGGAGACCACAGCCCAGAGAAGUUAAUGCACUUUUCAAGGUCACAGGUGUUAUUUAGUGGCACCAUCCCCUGGGCCUCAGAGUCCUCGGCUGGAAUUGUCAGCGCUUCCUAAACCCUUCUUGGAGUGAAUACUCCAGAACCAUUGAAAUAUGCAUUUGCGUCUUCCAUAUUUUCUUUGAUAUGUGUACUGGCCAUUGCUGAAUACAGGGUUUGAAGCUAUCUUUUUUACACCGAAACAAAACAGAAUAAAACAAAACAACCCAUUCAAGAUGAUUUACAAAUUGAAGGCACCUAAUAAUAAUACCUCGCAUUUUUGGAGAGCUUUUUAUUUGCAGAACACUUCCCAGACAGUAACUAAUGAAUUCUCCAACUCCCCUUAGGAAUAGUGACAUAUGCAUUCCCACGCACACUAGGAACUUAAUUUACAUGAAACGAAGAAAAAGUCAUUAUAAAGUGGCAUUCCCCUAAAUCAUAAUUACAACCUUCAGCCCAAGAUAAACAUGCUGAACCCUCCCAGGGAUGCUGCGAUGUUCACCCACUGCGGGGGUCUCCACUUCGAUCCCAGCGCUGCCUGCAUAAGGAGGACAGACCAGGAGUAUUCACACAAAGUCAGUUCUCUCUGGGAUCAAGGUCCCAUUUUCCAGCCAAACAACUGGAGGUUAAUGGCUUGUUAGGGGGCAAGUGCUGGGGCAGUGGUCUCCUUCUGUCAAUUAAAAAGAAGACAGAGUGAUGGGAUGUCAUGGAGGUGCCAGGGACUCGUGUGUGAACCGGGAAUGUGGGUUUUUACAAAGAGGAGUCUGGAGGUGGACCUCCAGGAGUUUUUGGUCCCUGAGGGAGGGGCAGCAGUCUUCCCGGCACUUCAUGAACCACAUACUGGCUGUUGCUGCCUUCGCCUCCCCAGGGGGCUGGUCCCAUGCUCUGGCGGCCAGGCUCAGGCAUCCACCUGUCCACUCAGUGCCCUGGCCCCCUGCCGUGGGUCUUGCCUUAUUUAGCACAAAUAACCCUCAGUGCAUUGUGAUGACAUCAGCCACCAAUGUCGAUGUCUCCAUGUACCACAUUUGACAUGUCCCAGGCUAAAUAGCUGCUUUUUUUUUUUUUUUUUGAGAUGGAGUUUCACUCUGUUGCCCAAGCUGGAGUGCUGUGGUGUGAUCUCGGCUCACGGCAAGCUAUGCCUCCUGGGUUGAAGCGAUUCUCCUGCCUCAGCCUCCCGAGUAGCUGGGAUUACAG
rnacentral:lncRNA from 1 species